GCCUUCGUGGUGUAAUGGUCAGCACACUCGGCUCGUAUUCGAGAGGUCCGAGGUUCGAGUCCUGGCGAGGGCA
rnacentral:tRNA from 1 species